UGCCAGACUCCUACGGGAGGCAGCAGUGGGGAAUAUUGCACAAUGGGGGAAACCCUGAUGCAGCGACGCCGCGUGAGUGAAGAAGUAUUUCGGUAUGUAAAGCUCUAUCAGCAGGAAAGAAAAUGACGGUACCUGACUAAGAAGCCCCGGCUAACUACGUGCCAGCAGCCGCGGUAAUACGUAGGGGGCAAGCGUUAUCCGGAUUUACUGGGUGUAAAGGGGGCGCAGACGGCAGCGCAAGCCAGGAGUGAAAGCCCGGGGCCCAACCCCGGGACUGCUCUUGGAACUGCGCGGCUGGAGUGCAGGAGGGGCAGGCGGAAUUCCUGGUGUAGCGGUGAAAUGCGUAGAUAUCAGGAGGAACACCGGUGGCGAAGGCGGCCUGCUGGACUGCGACUGACGUUGAGGCCCGAAAGCGUGGGGAGCAAACAGGAUUAGAUACCCUCGUAUAC
rnacentral:rRNA from 1 species